GUGCAUGCGAUAUGAAGCAAAGCACAGUUACUUUAAAAGAUUGGCUUCAUACCUUGGAAACUUCACUAAUGUUGCACUUAGCCUUGCUGAACGACAUCAAACCAGAAGUUGUUAUCUAAGAAAUCAACCCAUUGCAAAAAGCCUAAAAUUGAUUCUGCAAAAGAAAUUGUUGCUAAGGAUAGUGAACAUUAUUAUUUGCUCAAAGAGAAGGAACCUAACUUAAGUGACAUUAGUAUUUUGUCAAGGUAAAGUACACAUAGUGAUUAUUUUUAUUACAGAAGAUGGUGACUAUUGCGAGAAAAA